GGGAUCAUGGUUUAGUGGCAUAAUUCUCCGUUUGGGCUGAAAGACUCGGAGAGGUCCUGGGUUCGAUUCCCAGUGGUCCCC